AGACUAAGAAUAAGAGUCACGAGGAAACGUGAAAUUGGUACUAGGGUUUUGAAAGGGGUCCAUGAUCGAAUCACGAGGAAGCUCCAAGAAGAAACAAAAAAUGGGAAAUUGGAGGAAAUAGGUGUACAAUUAAAGAAUAAAGUUGAUUCCUUUGGAGCAAAACAAAGUGAUAACAUAAUGGAGGAGGAACAGAGAGUUACGAAAGUGGAAGUGGCGAAGCAGAGAUGCAAGUGCGUUAUUGAGGCCAUUGACAAAUUACCCUCUUCCACCAACAUCACUGCCUCGUGCAGAAGAACACUCCUCAAAUUGGCACGUGCCGAGCUUGCUUUCCUUUCUCGCGCCUCUUCUUCUUUCCCCCUCAGGUCACUCGUGUUCAAUUUUAUACCGUGUAUAUAUAUAUAUUAGUCAUUGAUUUUAUAAAAAUAACUCAUUUAGUUUUUUUUUUGUCCUUAUAAUGUGUAAAGUUUUUACAAAGUUAGGGACUAAAAUUGAGAAACUAAAAUAGGUAUUUACUCAUUUUAAAAUUAUGUUUUGAUUGAUGGAUAUUCAUGUUACCACUCUUUUUUUGUCAAAUAUGGCAAAGAGUGAUCAAAAUUUUAGAAUGUCGUGCUGCAUUAUUUUGAAUGCUAGUCUCACCCUGUAAUGUAUGAAGAAGCAUUGAAAAAUGCUACCAGCACACUGCUCCUUCGGUCUCAUAUCGUAGUACUCUUCGGCUAUUUUAGUUUAUUUAAAAAUAUUUGUCACUUUAGAAAACCAAAAAACUUUUAGUUAAUUUUUUUUCUAAUAAUACUUACAUUUAUUGAUACUUUACCUAAGUACUUAAAUAGAUUCCCAACUGAAUUCUAACUCUUUUUGUAAGGAUCUUUUAGUCAAUUAAAGCAUUUUAUCAUUGUAAUUCAUGUACAAGAACAACCAAGCCUUAUCUCAAUGGGAUCAUAGUAAUUUCUGUAAUUAAUAAAAAAAUUUAAAAAGUGAGCAUUACUUUAAAGACAAAUAAUAUGAGAUGGAGGGAGUACUUUUUAUUGAGUGAAUUUUAUGUGGACCCUAGGAAAAAAAAAAGUUUGACUCGUGCUUUUUUGUAGAAUUAACAUGCAAUUCACCUAAUAAUAAAGAGUACAAUGGAAAUAGUCAGCAAUUGCAUAGAAAAAAGUGUUGCUAGCAUUUCUCAUGAAACAUUUAUCAGUACCUAUUACAUUAUGACUUUACUCUUAUGCAGUGACAUUUAUUUUGUUUAAUUGUACUUAUUUUUUUAAUGUGAAUGGAAAAGAGCUAAGAUGUACACCUUAUUGUGUUUGUAUCAUAUUUUCAUCUUUAAUACCUGACUCUUGGGUAGAUGUAAACUGUUGAUGUUUUCUGCAUUACUUAUCAAUUUAUGAGUAUUUGUAUUUGUGUGAUGAAACAUAACAGUGUCAACAUCGGACACCUUGAAACAGUUGUACAUAUUCUCCAGCAGCCUUUCAUAACUGGAGUUUCUCGAGUUUGCAAGUCAAUUCCACUCUCCAGAGUCUCCCCUUCAGUUAGCAGUGAGGAGAGACACAGUUCUUCUCCCAAAUGCAUCUAUGCGGAUGUGGUGUGUACUCUCUACAGGAAGCCUGUCUGGAUUAUAGUAUCUGACAGAAAUCCAAAGUAUAUCAUGUGGAAUAGAUGCCAUAGAAGUAAGGGUUUAGAAGUUCGAAUUCAAGAAGUACUUGCUGCUGCCCGAUCUAACAUAACCUUAAGACCUUCCUCAGUUAUUCUUUUCUUUGCCAAAGGUCUUACUAACAAUGUUUACAACAAAGUUCGAGAUAAUUUUGGAGCAUAUGAAAUGGAGUUCGAUUUUUCAAUUUUCAGUUCUGACUUGUUGGAAGAAACAGAAGGUGACUGGAUAAAUAUUAUUGCAAGAUCAUAUAAAAAUGCAUGUGUCCUUGAAAUUAACAAUGAUGAUGGCAAGGAUGUUGUUCCAAAUUCUAGAUUCAAUGUUGAAAGUUCAACUUUGGACUCUUCUCAACUUGAGCUUUCUGUAGAUGAAGCUGAAAAUCAACCACAGCCUAUAGAAGAGAAUGUCAGAACAAACUUGGGUGAUACAUUUUGUUCUAUUGUUAUGGGAAUGAAAUUAAUAUCUUUGGAGAAUAAAGAUUCUGAAUCCACUAUGCCUGGGGAUGAUCUGGUAAAUUUGGAUACAACAGCUUUGAUAGCUCUUGUAUCAGGAAUUAGUAAUGGUGGAACAGAGAAACUUUUGGCCACUCCAGAAUGUGAAAUGAAGCAGCGAUUUAAGGGAAACUUUGACUUUGUGAUUGGUCAAAUAAUGUCUGAAAUUCAAAACCCAAUUCAUAUGGAAUUUAGUAGAAUCCUACAUGGAAAGAAUGGCAUAAUUUGUGAGAGUGUUCUUAUGGAAUUUAAGGAGUUGGUAUCAAUGUGUGGAGGGCCCAAUGAGAAACUCAGAGCUGACAAGUUAACAAAUUGCAUCAGUGUUGUUCCUGAUACCCCUUCAGAACGCAUAAUGGGCCUCCCAACAACUAGGAAACUGGCAUUGAAAAACAAGAUUGUCUUUGGCACUGGUGACCAUUGGCAUGCCCCGACUUUAACUGCAAAUAUGGCAUUUGUCAGAGCAGUUUCACAGACAGGGGUGUCCCUUUCCACUAUUGAACAUAGGCCAAGGGCCUUAACUGGUGAUUAGUUACAUUCAUUCAUGAAAACAAGGCUUGAGGCAUUCAUUCUUGCAACGCAAAAUCAGCAACCCCACAGCUCAGAAGGCAUAUUUUCUCAAGAGGUGCACGUGGGCUGAUUUUCACUGCACAUCCCGAAUGGACUACUGUAUAUUCACUGAAACUUGAAACCGCACAAUAAUGAUAAACAGGCUUCCCUUUUACUGAGAAGCGUGUCUUCUGAUCACUAUGCAUUAAACCCUUCCUUUCCAAUCCCAAAACCUGACAAAUAUUAGUUUUUCCUGAUGUGCACAGCCUGCAUGCCAUGCACUCUCCAAUGAAUACUGUUAGUACAUGAUCUCCCUCUUUGAAUUCAGUCACUCCUUGUCCCACACUCUCAACAAUCCUGCAAAACUAUGCUAAAUAUUCAGUAUCUAUUGUGGAAAUUACACCUUUUGCAAGGAUUUAGUUGAAGUGCUGCCAAUGAUGCAAAAAUGUAUCACAUCCCAUUCCGAGCACAAUUCUGUCUAACAUCAGAAGCAUUCUCUGCCCCAUAAUUGAUCAUUAUCACCCUAACUGAAAUUGGCUUUUCAGAAUUUGAUCUAUUUGCCAUGCUAGCCAAAUGGGUAACUCUUAAAAUGCAAAAUGUUUUUAAGAUAUUCAAAGAAAAGCAACUUGAGGAUCAGACUCGAUGUUUAAUCCAAAAAUACAACAUUAAGUGAAGAUUACCCUGAUGCUUCAUGGCCAAAUAUGCGAGGAAAUAUGGCCUGC